rnacentral:rRNA from 1 species
UGGGGAAUAUUGGACAAUGGGCGAAAGCCUGAUCCAGCCAUGCCGCGUGGAUGAUGAAGGCCUUAGGGUUGUAAAAUCCUUUCGUGGGGGACGAUAAUGACGGUACCCCAAGAAGAAGCUCCGGCUAACUUCGUGCCAGCAGCCGCGGUAAUACGAAGGGGGCUAGCGUUGUUCGGAUUUACUGGGCGUAAAGCGCGUGUAGGCGGGUCGUUAAGUUGGGGGUGAAAUCCCGAGGCUCAACCUCGGAACUGCCUUCAAAACUGGCGACCUGGACUCAAGCAGAGGCAAGUGGAAUUGCGAGUGUAGAGGUGAAAUUCGUAGAUAUUCGCAGGAACACCAGUGGCGAAGGCGACUUGCUGGGCUUGUAGUGACGCUGAGACGCGAAAGCGUGGGGAGCAAACAGGAUUAGAUACCCCCGUAGUCCCUGAGCGGGCUGGCAAGGCGCAU